rnacentral:rRNA from 1 species
CACGAAGCCGGAAUCGCUAGUAAUCGCGGAUCAGAACGCCGCGGUGAAUACGUUCCCGGGUCUUGUACACACCGCCCGUCACACCAUGGGAGCCUGGAAUGCCCGAAGCCGGUGGCCGAACCGAGAGGGCGGAGCCGCCUAAGGCAGGCCCGGUGACUGGGGUGAAGUCGUAACAAGGUAAC